AACUCGUUAACUCCAAUCGAGUAAAUUAUUGCUAUUUUUGUUAGCGUCAGUAAAAACGCGUAAAUAUCUACAAAUACAAAUUGUGAUUCGUCGAAAAUAAGAACGAUCGAUGCGUUAACGCACAGUGGCCGGUCUAUUCCGGUCAUAUAAAAUAAUUAUAGGUACCCCCUAUACAACUCGGACCACCGCACACAUUAUUGACGAG